AUAAGGAGUCGGGCCUGCCCAGUGAAGAUUUUUAACGGCCGCGGUACCCUGACCGUGCAAAGGUAGCAUAAUAAUUUGCCUUAUAAUUGAAGGCUAGUAUGAAUGGUCUGACAAGAACAUCACUGUCUCUUUAUAGCUUAUUAGAAUUUUAUUUUAAGGUGAAGAAGCCUUAAUACAAUUGAUAGACAAGAAGACCCUAUCGAGCUUAAAAUAACUUAGAAGAUACAGACAGCUAAUUAAUUCUAAAAAGAAACUUCUAAAAAUUUUGGUUGGGGCGACUGAGGAACAAUAAAAGCUUCCUUUAUUAUCUUUAAACUUAUAAGUCUUGAUCCAAACAUUUUGAUUAAGAAAAUUAGUUACCGUAGGGAUAACAGCAUUAUCCCUUUUGAGAGUUCUUAUCGAAAAAGGGGUUUGUGACCUCGAUGUUGGACCAGAAUGUCCUAAAGGUGCAGAAGCCUUUAAGGGUUGGUCUGUUCGACCAUUAAAAUUCUA
rnacentral:rRNA from 1 species